rnacentral:rRNA from 1 species
CAUGUCUUUUGAUUUAUUAAAGUCUAACCUGCCCACUGAUUUUUAAAGGGCCGCGGUAUUUUGACCGUGCGAAGGUAGCAUAAUCAAUAGUCUUUUAAUUGAAGGCUGGUAUGAAUGGUUGAAUGAGAUAUAUACUGUUUUUUUAAAAUUUAAAUAGAACUUUAUUUUUUAGUUAAAAAGCUAAAAUUAAAUUAAAGGACGAGAAGACCCUAUAGAUCUUUAUUUUUAUAAAUUAUAAAUUAUAAAGAAUUUUAAAAUUUAUAUUUUAGAUAAAAUUUUACUGGGGUGGUAUUAAAAUUUAAUUAACUUUUAUUUAUUUUUAACAUUGAUUUAUGAAUUAAAGAUCCUGUAUUAUGGAUUAAAAAAUUAAGUUACCUUAGGGAUAACAGCGUAAUUUUUUUAGAGAGUUCAUAUCGAUAAAAAAGAUUGCGACCUCGAUGUUGGAUUAAGAGUUAUUUUUAGGUGUAGAAGUUUAAAGUUUAGGUCUGUUCGACCUUUAGAUUCUUACAUGAUCU